rnacentral:rRNA from 1 species
ACAUGCAAGUCGAGGGGCAGCAUGGUCUUAGCUUGCUAAGGCCGAUGGCGACCGGCGCACGGGUGAGUAACACGUAUCCAACCUGCCGUCUACUCUUGGACAGCCUUCUGAAAGGAAGAUUAAUACAAGAUGGCAUCAUGAGUCCACAUGUUCACAUGAUUAAAGGUAUUCCGGUAGACGAUGGGGAUGCGUUCCAUUAGAUAGUAGGCGGGGUAACGGCCCACCUAGUCUUCGAUGGAUAGGGGUUCUGAGAGGAAGGUCCCCCACAUUGGAACUGAGACACGGUCCAAACUCCUACGGGAGGCAGCAGUGAGGAAUAUUGGUCAAUGGGCGAGAGCCUGAACCAGCCAAGUAGCGUGAAGGAUGACUGCCCUAUGGGUUGUAAACUUCUUUUAUAAAGGAAUAAAGUCGGGUAUGUAUACCCGUUUGCAUGUACUUUAUGAAUAAGGAUCGGCUAACUCCGUGCCAGCAGCCGCGGUAAUACGGAGGAUCCGAGCGUUAUCCGGAUUUAUUGGGUUUAAAGGGAGCGUAGAUGGAUGUUUAAGUCAGUUGUGAAAGUUUGCGGCUCAACCGUAAAAUUGCAGUUGAUACUGGAUAUCUUGAGUGCAGUUGAGGCAGGCGGAAUUCGUGGUGUAGCGGUGAAAUGCUUAGAUAUCACGAAGAACUCCGAUUGCGAAGGCAGCCUGCUAAG